GAUGAACGCUGGCGGCGUGCCUAAUACAUGCAAGUCGAGCGAACAGACGAGGAGCUUGCUCCUUUGACGUUAGCGGCGGACGGGUGAGUAACACGUGGAUAACCUACCUAUAAGACUGGGAUAACUUCGGGAAACCGGAGCUAAUACCGGAUAAGAUUUUGAACCGCAUGGUUCAAUAGUGAAAGACGGCCUUGCUGUCACUUAUAGAUGGAUCCGCGCCGUAUUAGCUAGUUGGUAAGGUAACGGCUUACCAAGGCAACGAUACGUAGCCGACCUGAGAGGGUGAUCGGCCACACUGGAGCUGAGACACGGUCCAGACUCCUACGGGAGGCAGCAGUAGGGAAUCUUCCGCAAUGGGCGAAAGCCUGACGGAGCAACGCCGCGUGAGUGAUGAAGGUCUUCGGAUCGUAAAACUCUGUUAUCAGGGAAGAACAAACGUGUAAGUAACUGUGCACGUCUUGACGGUACCUGAUCAGAAAGCCACGGCUAACUACGUG
rnacentral:rRNA from 1 species